UAGCAAGUUUUGUACGGAUUUGCACGGU
rnacentral:piRNA from 1 species